GGCCCCGGCUUCCCCCUGCAGGUUGGCUUUCAGUUUUAAACAGUCCUUUCGCUCCUCCGGCUUUGGGACGUGAGUGAUGAGACCAAGCAGAGAGUGAGAGGUGGAGAAAGACCAGAAGCUCAGAACUGAUGGAGAGUCCGCCACGCCCUCGACCUGGCCUGGAUGGAUAUGAGAUGACCUGUCAUGACUUCUUUUUACAAAGUUAUUUCGUUUUGUCCUGUUUCUUGAGGAGCACUUGGAAAACCCAGAAAAACUGAAAGAAGAAAAUAAUCACUCAUAGCCCCCCCUCCCCAGCUGAAGACAGCCACUCUAAACGUUUGGCACAUUUUCCUCCCAACUUUUACCGAAGUUAAACAGGCAUGAUACGAAUGCCACUGCCAAAAAAGAGGGGAUGCUUCGAAAGUGGUGAGAAAAAUCCCAGCCUGAAGGACUGAAGAGUGGACGAUGGCUCUCCGCUGAAAAAUAUCAACACCUGUUUGCAACCUUUCAGAUUUGUACUUUUGGGGAAUGACGCCCUCUAGAGAUCAGCAGUGAUGAUGCGCCAUCAUUUCGUAGCUACCUGAAUUUCCAGCUAAAUGCAUCCUGAUUCACUGAACAGACAUUUGGUAUUACUCCCUGAUUUUGCUGAGGGCCUGAAACCUAUGGGAGGGAAACCAACCCCUGUCCACAACUGGAGUUCAAAUGUACAUUUACAGCUAUAUCUGUGGGAUGUGAGAUAGGCAUGGAAACUGGAUUGCAGAGAGAGACAACUGGGUCCCUGAGACAAAAUGAAUGUUAGUAGAGAAUGAUUCUGGCAGUGUGGGUGGAAGCAAUGUGAAGUUCAUGAGACGUGCCUGAGACUGCGCUAGACGUGCGUGAGACUGCACCAGAAUCCAUGAAGACUCAGACCCCCUGCCAGCAUACAUGCUUUCUAGUGAAGAGAGGGCUGUGGUGAAACCGCAAAACUGCUUCACACUAUGACCUAGCCCUUUGCCACGGAAUGCUCUCUAGAGCCACCCCUCCCCCUCAAGUUUUGGACACUAGAAGAAGAAAGUGUUUCCACCCCAGCUGGAGGUAAGAGAGUAAUGAACUGCCAAGAUUACAAACGGAGAUGCUGAGGAAACCCUGAAGGCCAAAGUGACAAUGGCACAGAUACAUGGUAUUAUCAGUGGGGAAGCUCCAGCUAAGCACGGGCAUCAAAGCCUCAGAAAUCGAGAAACAGGUGAGAGAAAGCAGGUGAGGCAGAUAACAGCUCUUAAUAUGUAUGAGACAACUAUCUUGGUGGCAGCUAUCUACCCAGUAUCCCUAAGGAUGAAUAUUCAAAGGACACACAGGCUUGUGGGCCGUAGGGAAUUUUCUGGUUUCAGAAAUAAUUUUUGAAACAAAGAUCACUAACCUAUAUCGUCUUUGAGUUUCAUCUCAUCCUUGAGCCUUAUUCUAGAGGGUCAUAGGUGCCCUGGGGUUCAGGAAUAGGGUAAAGAUCAAUAAUGGGGUGAGAACAUUUGUAGUGUGCAUUACUUGGUAAUUUUAAAAAGUGAAAGUUCAAUGGUUUCUUGGGCUUUCAUCAAAAUGACCUCACAAAAAUAACAUGCAAUAAUUAUUCCCCCAGUUCCUUCUCUCUUUCUCCCUCUCUUCCUCUCUCUCUCUCUCUCUGUACUUUUAAAGAACAUUAGGGUUGCAUUGUCUUGUAACUCAGCCUUUUCCCAUUUAAGGUAUCAAAACAUUUUUCUAAAAAUCUAUUAUUUCACAACAUAAUAAAUACUAAAAUUUUAACAAUUAUCCUUUUAGGGUUGAUAGAAAGGAUUUGGGGGAUUUUAUUUUCUUACUUUGUGUUUUCUAAACUUACUAAAGUUAACGUAUUAUCUCUAUGAUUAGAAAACCUUCAACUAUAGAAAAUAAUUUUUUCCAGCACUUUUAUGGUUCAUCCCAUUUCACUAUUUCCUUUUCAAAUUAUUUUCACAGUAUUUUUCAUCCCAGAAUGUAUUUCUAGAAUAAGUUUUGCCUAACUUGCAUGCACACAAACAGAGAGAGGGAGAGGGAGAGAGAGAGAGGGAGGGAGGCAACACUCUGGUGUCUCUUCUUAGAAAGACACUAAUCCUAUCUGAUCAGGGCCCCACCCUGCAUGGCUGUUAGCAUAACUGGGCCAUCUUGGGCCUGUUCAGUUCCUCCUGUCCUUCCACUGACCCUAUGUAGGGCUGUACUGUGUAGUGAAUCUCUUUUCUGUCAUCAAGGGCUUUGUAGUUAUUAGAUAGUGUUUAGUGAUCAUUAGGUCCAGGUAGCCUCUAUGCUCUGUUAGUCCCCAAACGAUGAAAAAUGUUGCUGACUUAUUCCCUGUGCCCUCGAGACUAGUAACCCCUUCAUAAAUCUAGGAGUACACAUCCUGUUUCCAAGCACCUACCCCCAUAACCCUAUAAAAUUGUCCCAAUGGCCCCUCAGCUGUGUGGAGUGCAGCUUUGAAUGCUUCCAGAUUGUUGUCCAACUAAUCACCCCCUGUGCGUAAGUUACCCUAUAAUAAACUGAUCCAUCGAGUGUAUGGAGCUGCCUGCCUCAUUUUUCAGUCUUAAAAUGCAUUCUUAGUUCAGUGGAUACGUUUUGUCCCUUCCGUUCUCCAGCACACCCUAUGACCUCAUUAACCUUAAUUGCCUCCUUAGAAGCCCCUUCUCUGAAUUCACCCAUACUGGGGGUUAGGGCUUCAAUAUAUGAAUUGGGGUGGGGGGAAUGACACAGAUUUCAGUUCAUAGGAAACCCUCUGCACGUAAAUUCAAGAAACAAUGCCACAUCAUCAGGUUUCAGAGUACACAUCCUAACAACACUUGGUAAUUAGUUAUCUACAUCAUGUAGCCUUUCAUAGUGGUCAUAGUUCCUCUUGUUCUUGUACUGAAUUUAUUUCAUUGUUCUUAACUUUUUAAGAUUUUAAUCUGAUGUCUUGAUAAUGAAAGCAAUAACAAGUCUGUAUAUGAAAAUAUCCAGCAUAUUUAGGUCUAAAGGUACUAGUAAUUUUUCAGAUCAAAUGGCCUCAGGGCUUAUUCUGAGCAUUAGUCUCUCAUCACAUCAUCUUUCUUGAAUUUU